UGGAGUGUGACAAUGGUGUUCGCG
rnacentral:miRNA from 1 species